GUCUUCUCGGUUUCGGGAAAGAUCGGAGGAUAAUACGACACAUUAAAUAGAAAGCUUUUAUGAUCACACUGACAUUCUUUACUAGUAAACUAAUUUGUUUUAACGUUUCAAGUGCUUGCGAUGGUUGUUGUCACGAAAGAGGGUGAUUCAUUGUUGUAAUGGUUUGUAAACAUGUUAUGGAGCUAUGUAGCUAGUUCUAAAUUUUUUCAUGAGCACAGCACAAAGAGUUAGGGUGGAAUAUGAACUACGCCAUCGCUUUGCAUCUAUUUUCACACACUUGUGGAGAUUAUUCAGAAGUCUUAGUGCAAAACUCCGAACUAAUUACACUUAUAACACAGUCUUCUGUUUGCAUUAUGAAGAGACGACGAAAAAAAUUAUGUGGUUUGUGAACGCAUUUUGGCUCUGGUCGCCCGCAGAGGAAACAUGAUUUCAUUCAGGAACCAGAAUGUUAUUAUGUGGCUCUGGUUUGGGAUUUGCAGAUGAUCACAUGAUGGAUGACCUGACUAAUUUCGGCAGGCAGGAAAAUGGCCUUGCCGAAAUUAUGCCCCCUCCCAAAACUAUGUGAAUAGAGUAAAAUACUUUUUUGUGGGAUACUCGAGGUCAUCAUGAGCUACCAAAAUGACUUGCUUAAAAUUGUGGCUACAGUCAAAUACCUUUUGUGGCACUACUGAGUUUGGCAGGCAAUAUGGUUUUAUCCUAAUUUGACUCUAUAGUUACAGUAGAAGCACAUUAUAAAUACCAUUCAUAAAAUGAUACAAACAUUUCAGAGCAAUGAUGGCUGAAAUAUUAUCCUUUACUUACUUUAGAAAACACUAGUCGAAUAAGAAAUGGGAGAUUUUGCCAACGAUUUGUUUAUAGUAAUGCACUUAAAACAAAUAGCCAUCCAAAAACUGCACAGUGCCUUCCCACGCGAUCAACCGGCCUUACGGUUUCUAAUGAAACGCAGCCUAACGUGGUCAUCGAUUGCUGCCUUGAUGUACACGGUUAAAUUAAAUCAUUUUGCUACGAAGAUCAGUAAAAUAUGUAGGCUAAACUGUCCUCUCAACAAGCAAACAGCAAAGCAGCAAUAAGAAUCGGGGGAUAUGUUUUCGCCGGGACACCCAACAAUCCCAGGCAAACCGGGACGCCUGGGCACCCUAUGAUCGGCUCCAGUUAUCCGUAUUUACAAGACCUCAGACAUCCCAACCUGCAAAAAGUCAUUUCACUCCCGGAACUAUGCGGGAUGUCUGAGACCUACACACCUCGAGGACGCGAAGGCCAGCGGCAAAGAUUGGGGCUGAUCCCUCUCACCCUGGAAAUGGAUUAUUCAGAACUCUCUCCUCUGGCAGAAGGUUGAGGUCUAUCAUGAACAUGCCCCGGGAGCCAAACAUAGCCCACUCCUCACAUACACACAAUCCUCAACUGGACAAAUCUACAACCCCUCCUCACAUACACACAACCCUCAACUGGACAAAUCUACAACCCCUCCUCACAUACACACAACCCUCAACUGGACAAAUCUACAACCCCUCCCCAUAUACACACAACCCUCAACUGGACAAAUCUACAACCCCUCCUCACAUACACACAACCCUCAACUGGACAAAUCUACAACCCCUCCCCAUAUACACACAACCCUCAACUGGACAAAUCUACAACCCCUCCUCACAUACACACAACCCUCAACUGGACAAAUCUACAACCCCUCCUCACAUACACAC
ensembl:lncRNA